AUCACACCAUUGCACUCCAGCCUUGGUGACUGAGUGAGACUCCAACCCUCCCCCCACUGCAAAAAAAAACCUGAUAGGAACAGGACUAUAUGACCACAAUAUGGUAAAGAAUCUGAAUUACAAUGUCCAUCAUUCAUAUUUUUUUAAGUAAAACAUUCUUUUUAACAUAAUCUCAUACCACCUUUACUUUACCAUCAUCUAUAUAAGCAGUCCAUUAUGGCAUGCAUCCUUUGCCCAUGCCAACUUGAAACUCCUUUUGGACAUAGACUGUAUGUAUCUGAAUUAAUAUUGUAUUCCCACUUAGGAAGGUGCCUGGCACACCAUAGGUGUUCAGUAAGAUUCAACUGAAUUCAAGUAGGCAGGUCAAACACUCAUGGGGUCAUUAAUUUGUCCAGAUGGACAUUCAAUUCUGCAGAAGUGUCAGAGAUACCCAAAUUUUGCUUCCAUAGUUUUAUUAAAUAUAAACUAAAUGUACAAGCAAGGAGGAAAGGUUAGUUUACAAAUUUUGCUUCUGGAACUCAAGGACUCUGAAAAAUAGUACUUAGUUAACUUUCAGUCCUCCAGAGAAGAUUUUUUUUGGAAAAUAAUGCCAAAGGGAUCUUGUGGCACACAGCCUUCUAACAUGACUCCCAGAAAUCCGCAUCUCCUGGUGUUCAUGCCAUUGUGUAAUUCCCUUCCAUUGAGUGGGGACUGGAUUUAGUGACUUACUUCCGAUAAGUAGAAUACAGCAGAUGUGAUGUGAUACUACUCCUGAGCUUUGGUUAUAAAAGAUUAUCAUUUCUAUCUUUCUGGCAUCCCCUCUCUGGCUCUUAUGGUGUGCUUGCCCUAAAGGAGAGGGCCAUUGGCAAGGAACUGAGGUGGCCUUCGAUCAACAGCCCACAAGGAAUGGAAUCCUGCCAAUAACAAUCAAAUGGUCCGAGGCAUCCAAGCAUGGCCUAUUGCCUGUGUCUUUAUUCUGAACAGAACAGGGCAGCCUUGGGAAAAUGCUGGCUGCUCAGCUAGCUCACUUAAAAAAAAUCACGUAAGCACUCCCUCUGCUCCUCUUAUUGGUGUUCAAGGCUUGAAGAGAGCUUUAGGGAAGGGUGUCUAAUGGAUCACAUGACUGUACCUACUGGUCCUUUUCCUGCCUUGUUAAUUACAAGGUGUUAUGAUCUUCACCACAGAUUGAUUACAUAAAGGGGAUCAUUUCUUCAUCCCCACCAUUUGCCAUGUAACUUUGUCAUGCCCUGUAUCUCUGACUCUGGCCUCUGUCAUUGACUUGCUGUGCCAAUGUUAGCAAAUGUGAAGCACACACAGGCUUGAAUAGCACUGUGCAACGGGACUUGUUAACACUUACCUUCUACUGUUGCUACAUGAACAUGCCCAGGCUAGCCUGAUGGAUGAUGAGAGACAUGUGGAAUAGAGCAGAGUCACCACAUUCAUCUCAGCUGAGACCUUUCUAGAUGGGUCAACAGCCCUCUACCCCCAGACGUGUGAGCCAGCCCAGCCAAGAUCAGCCAAGUCCAACCUGAAUAAUUGAACACUGAGGUCUUGUUGCAGAAUAAAAGUGUAUUAUUGUAACCCACAGUGGCUUUAUGAUUUUUAAUUAUGCAGCAGUAUUGUGGCAGCAGAUAAUUGAUACAGCCCUCAAAUGGAUAAUCUCUUUGGGUAUGGAGAAACAGGAUUUGGAAACCCAUAAGUGUAAGCCUUCAUAUAUGGGUAGAACAGGUUUCUUGCUCACAAGAGACACCAACUUAAAUUGAAAAGAAAGUGGUUUUGGACUAGUGCUAGGUACUGGUGCAUAAACCCAUGUAUAUACGCACAGGCUCUUGAGGGGUCAGUGAAAGAAGCUGCUGAAAUGUCACUCGUAGAAUGGGCUUCAAACAGGAGUGGGAUUUUCUCACCUUCAUCUAACUCCCUGCUGUUCUUUAAUGCAACUCUCCUAAGCCCCCAGCAUCCAGGUGUUCCUUUUGCCAUUUAUGAUGCUGCUUCUCUCCUACUUUGGGAUACCCUCCCUCUUUUCUGUUCAUCAUUAUCCCCCUGAUGCUAACCCAUUGAAUGGCUCUAUUUUCCUCUUCUCUGCAGUACUUUUAGGUUUUCAGCAUCUGUGUUACAUGCACUAGGCUUUGGUUUUAUAUGAUUACACAUCAGACUGCAACUAUUCUACAUCUAAUCCCUUAAUUAAUCUAUAAGCUCCUGAGAGGAAAGCUAUGGUACUAAAUGCUUUCACAGCGUAAGGCCAAAGUAAAUGCUUUUGGCACUAAGUAAAGGUUUCACAUAUAUUCAUGCCUUGAUUGAGGUGGAACAGGAGACCUACUAGUGAUAUUUAAUAGAAUGCUACCAAUUUCUUCUGUCUGACUGAAAGGCUCAUAGAUUCUAAGCCAUUCCUUUCCAGAAACAUCUUUAAGAACCAUGCUGCAAUUGCUUGUUGAUCAAGGCUUGUCUAACUAUGGUCCUGCUUGAAGGCAGAGAAGCCAUUUCUAUUCAUCCAACCAACCAUUCAAUAAAUAGUUAAUAGGUUCCUUCUAUGUAGAGGAGAUCUCUAUUAUGUAAGGAUAAGUGAUAGAAGAGAAAGACUUGAGUAUAAAUCCACUGAAAAUCAAGGACCAAAAUUUUAUAAGAGUGAAUAAAGUAAAAUGAUCUCAUUGGGUCUGCAUAUUGAUUAAAAUGAAACAAAUAAUUUAUUUUACCUUAUAUUUAGCAAAAUAUAGACUAUAAACACAACAAUUUGUUAACUCUGAGAAUGAACAAAGAAUGAAUCAAAGGAUGAGAUUUUGGCAUAUUUUUUGACAUCCCUUACCUAACCAUUGAUCUUUAUUGAAAUUUUAAAAAGUCAUGUUAAUUACCCUGACUUGAUUAUUACACGUGGUAUAUAUGUUUCAAAUUAUCCCAUGAUACCCUGUAAAUGUGUACAAUUAUGUAUCAAUUUAAAAUAAUAAAAGACAAGUGAUUUUUUGGAGUGAAAAUAUUUGAGAACUUCCUCAGUUUCCCCAAAGACUUCUAUUAACCCUUUAAUAUUUAAAUCACUAAUGAAAACCCUUUUCCUGACAUUUAUUGUUGAUUUUUUUCUUCUUUCAUUGUUGUGUUCAAUGAAACACAUUUAUUUGUUGUAUUUGUUGGUAGUUUUGUGUGUGUUCCCUCCCAGUGGCCUCUACUAUCCUUUUCAUCAACUUUGUGGAAUCUGUGAAUUAACUUUGCCUGGGGCUUACUUUGUAUUUUGCAUUUUAGCUGAAGACUUCCUCCAAAUGGUUCAUAACUGAUAGGAGGGGAUGGUUGCUAGUGUUAAGCAAGACGGGACAAAGGAGUGGAGACUGAACUUCAAUCAGAUAAACCCAAUAUUUAAACUGUAAGGUCCUUGGCUAUGGAAGGUGACUGGAGAACCAUUGAUCCCUGCAUUUUAUAGGAAAAGCAAGGGCCCAUUGGAACCUGUUGCUGUUGGCUCUCUUUACAAGGUGAAUUUAGACAUAUGAGCACUCCAGGAGGAGAUCUGAUUUGACAAACAUGUCUAGAAAGAGGAAAAGCAAGCACUGGCAUUAACUUGGCUUCCACUGAGACUAGGCUCCAUUAGUGAACUAAAUGUUGGUAUUCUGGGAAAAGCCAGCUUGUUACUGGAAAUUUUAAUUCUUUGAAAAAAAUGGCAUUAGAUUUGCCUUUGGUUGUUGCAUUCCAAGAGCUCUUGCCUAUGAAACCUUUCUUGAUCAUAGAGUGCAGCAAGUCUACCAGAAUGUUCAAUUUAUCUGCUACCAGUCAUCAUUUCUUGCCCUGGCAGACAUUGCUAAUCAAUCUGAUGCUGACUCAGCUCACAUUUAAACUAAGAUUUCCUGAGAUGAUUCUGUAUGCAACCACUACCAACUGAUGAGUGCUGACAUGAAUAUGAAACCUGUUUGAACUCCUUGUGCUUUUAUGGUGUGUACUUUACAAUGAACUCUGAUCUAUUCACUACCAUUGAGUUUUAGUGGCAUUUGAUAAUGUUGCACUUGAUUAUAUUGUUAUAGUAUCCUCUUUUUUGAUUCAAAUCUGUUAAAAAUUGUUUAUCUCCAAAACGUUUAAGUACCUAGGGCACUUGGACUGUGUUUUAUACUACUUUGUGACCUUCCCAGUGUCAAGAUGGGUACAGACUAGAUGCUCAAUAAAUAUUUGGGUGAUUAAUUACCUAAGGAAUUAGGAUUAAUCACCUAAAGGAUUCUUUGGUUGAUAAACCUAAGGAAUUCAAUAGAAUGGAAGUCUAGGAAAAACUUUGCUUGCAUGGAACUAUCAAAGUAAAGCUUUGGACUGUGAAUAAUUCAGUCAACCUGCAAGCCUCGAUUAUCUGCUCCGAGUUUGUGAAGACCAUUGCUGUUGUCCCCGAGGUGUAUUGAUAAGUUAACAUGAUCGUAACUCUCAAGAUGUUUAUGGUUCAGUACCAGGAGCAAGAGAGAUAAGUGUGAUCAUCAGAAUUGUAGAAAUAUAAAAGUGGUGCAGAGGAGAAAGACUGAGAUGAAUGAAGUUGACAAGGAUAACAGGUUGAACACUCCAUAGUGGAAAGAGGCAGUGAGAUGGGAAAUUAUUCCAUAAAGCUUCCUUCAAAGAGUGUCAGCAAGAUGCAAUGCCAAUGGAAUAGAAAAAUCUUUAGAAUCACAGUGUCAUAUUUGAGGGACCUUUGACUUUACAUGAAAUUACCACUGCAUGAGUACAGCAACACUUUAAUCUUGGAUAUUCCUUUAUUAUUUAUUCAUCCAACCUAGCUUGCAUAAAUAUUUCCUUGGGCUUUUUUGUUUUUCCAUGUUUGUUGGCACUGAUUUUUCAGCAAAGGAGCCUCUUAGACUGAAUGUGCUGUUAAACUGUGGCCUCCUAGGCCUAACCCACUUGAUAGCCUGCAGUUUGUGAUGGUACCUCUGCUGCCCACUCCAACCACAUCCCCUUCUUCUACCUGCCUGAUCCACCCAGAUCCCCUCUGAUUAAUUAUUCACACCUAUAUAUCUUCAACUUCCAUUAGGACCUCCCUCACGUUGUGGUGCUUCUUUACCCGCAAAAUGCAGAGCCCUGGCCGGGUGCGGUGGCUCACGCCUGUAAUCCCAGCACUUAGGGAGGC
rnacentral:lncRNA from 1 species